AUUGAACGCUGGCGGCAUGCCUUACACAUGCAAGUUGAACGGCAGCACGGACUUUGGUUUGGUGGCGAGUGGCGAACGGGUGAGUAAUGUAUUGGAACGUGCCUGGUAGUGGGGGAUAACUAGUUGAAAGAUUAGCUAAUUCCGCAUACGACCUAAGGGUGAAAGCAGGGGACCUUUGGGCCUUGUGCUAUCAGAGCGGCCGAUAUUUGAUUAGCUAGUUGGUGGGGUAAAGGCCCCCCAAGGCGACGAUCAGUAGCUGGUUUGAGAGAACGACCAGCCCCACUGGAAAUGAGACACGGUCCAGACUCCUACGGGAGGCAGCAGUGGGGAAUAUUGGACAAUGGGGGCAACCCUGAUCCAGCCAUGCCGCGUGUGUGAAGAAGGCCCUCGGGUUGUAAAGCACUUUAAGCGGGGAGGAAGGCCUGAUGGUUAAUACCCAUUGGGAUUGACGUUAACGGGAGAAUAAGCACCGGCAAACUUCGUG
rnacentral:rRNA from 1 species